rnacentral:lncRNA from 1 species
ACUAAUCCAGCUUAUCUCCACCACCUUCCUCACACCACUGCUCCAACUUAUCUCCACCGCUGAACUCACUACCGCCGAUUCACCAUAUUUCCAUAAGUAAAUCUUCAUCUCCCUCUCAAAACACUCUCAAAUUUCAACCCCAAAAUCAAAUCGAGACCAAAAACCAUUCAUAGGAAAUUUAUAGAAAUAAUUUUUCUUUGUCUAAAACGUCUCCACCACUACCACUAACCAAUGAUAAUUUUAUUAUCUUCCGUGUUGCUUCCUUCCUCUUCUAUAAAAGUCAUGCAAUUCUAGAUUUGUAUGGAAUUAUAGCAAAUGCUUGGCUGGUGAUAUCUAUCGUCCAUGGCUGCGAUCGGAUAAACACUCCAGUGGCCUUUCCUUUUGCUUUCCUUUUCGGCUCUGACUUUUUUGUAG